rnacentral:rRNA from 1 species
GUCUAAGAUGUGGCAUGAGGCGUGGAUAAUACGAAGGGGGUAAUAGCUAAUAUGAAUGAAGGGACUUGAAGGUGUCGUAGGUGAUUUGUGAGUGUGGGUGUGAGAGCCGCUGGCUAAAUGUGGGAACUGCAUCCAAACCUGGCAAGCUAGAGUAUAGUAGAGUGUGGUGGGAUUUCCUGUGUAGCGGUGAAAUGCGUAGAUAUAGGAAGGAACACCAGAGGCGAAGGCGACCACCUAGACUGAUACUGACACUGAGGUGCGAAAGCGUGGGGAGCAAACAGGAUUAGAUACCCGAUAGUC